rnacentral:pre_miRNA from 1 species
ACCACCGUCUGUCCCGAGCGAGUCUGCACUCUGGGAUAACAUGUUGAUUGAUUAAUACCAUGACUAGAGGCAGACUCGUUUGGGAAGGUCGGUA